rnacentral:tRNA from 1 species
UCCCAAAUGGCUUAGUGGUAAAGAACUUGCCUGCCAAUGCAAAAGACACGAGAGAUGCUGGCUCGAUCCCUGAUUUUGGGAA